CUACUCAGAACUCUCGUCGUUUUCUAGAACAGGUCUAAAUCAUUAAACUGCACAGUGUUCUUUUUCUGUUAACAGCAGGUAUCAUUUUUGUCCUGACAAGAGGAGGCUCCACCUGCCGACUGCCCACCAACGCAUCCAGCUGUCUGCUUUGCAGAACGGGCAAGCUUGUUUUCAGAAUUUGAAAAACGGAGAUACAAAGGGAGCUGUGGCAGCUGAAUUCUCUUUCAUGUGUGUCCAGUCCAGGUGAAGCCCAGCAUAAUGUACUGUAAUAUGUGUUUCAAUUCUCUGAUACAAUGACCUGUGCAUCCUCUAAAUCCCCCACAGAAUGCGCAGACACAGACUGAUUGAGACAGAAGCUGAUGGAAGUAUCCUGGGUGAUUGCUGAGUUUAAGGUAAAUGAGCCCAAAACAAUUUUGUUAUUUAGGAUAAUUUGUGGAAGUCUGGUGCCUAAUAUAGUUUCGUAGCAAGGGUGGGUACAAUGCAAAAAUGAGUAUACAGUUCAGCUGUGUGUGUAUU